rnacentral:lncRNA from 1 species
AAGAACUUUCUAUCCCAACGAAAGUAAUAACAGCUGUUUAACAAUGGAUCCCAAAGUCCAGAAUUAAAAAUCCUCUCUAAAAACACAGCCUUUUCUAUGGACACUGCAAUAAACAAAGGCCAUGCUAAAAUGUGAAACCAGAAGUAAAAGACCUCGCAAGACUUUCUGACUCUCANAUAAGGCCCAGUUUUCAUGGGAAUGGUAAAUCUAGAUCUCGAU